rnacentral:lncRNA from 1 species
UCAAUAAAUGAGCCGAAGAGCUAGUUUGUUAAAAUAUCGAGUUAAAAAAUUCAGCUCGUAUUCGGUUUGUUUAUUAACGAGUCGAACACAAGUUGCCUUACGAACAACAAGUUAGAUUAUCAGUCUUAUCAUUAAAUAAAAAUUUUUUAAAAAAAUAGAAAAUUACAAUAUUAAUCAAAUUAUUUAAAUUCAUAAAGUAUAAAUCUCUCUAUAUU